GAUGAACGCUAGCGGCAGGCCUAAUACAUGCAAGUCGAACGGUAAGGCCCUUUCGGGGGUACACGAGUGGCGGACGGGUGCGUAACGCGUAUGCAACAUGCCUUCCGAGCGGGGGGAUAUACCAGGGAAACUUGGCGCAAUACCCCAUAGAAUUACGGGACCGCAUGGUCUUGUGAUUAAAACUCCGGUGCUGGGAGAUUGGCAUGCGUGACAUUAGCUAGUUGGCGGGGUAACGGCCCACCAAGGCGACGAUGUCUAGCUGGUCUGAGAGGAUGAUCAGCCACACUGGGACUGAGACACGGCCCAGACUCCUACGGGAGGCAGCAGUAGGGAAUAUUGGACAAUAGGGGGAACCGGUACGAUCCACGCCACUGCCGCGUGAGGGAAGGAAGGUACCGUCU
rnacentral:rRNA from 1 species